rfam:Camelus ferus unplaced genomic scaffold scaffold1064, whole genome shotgun sequence.
GGGAAAUGAGGACAGGGCUGUGGAGAUGAGCCCUCCCAAGUCCUCCUCGGGUCAAUAGGCUCA